rnacentral:lncRNA from 1 species
GAGCCACCGCGCCCAGCCAUGGAGCUUACAUUCUAACAAUGGAGACAGAUAUUAAACAAAAUCGACAACAUACUACAAGAUGACAGCCACCUACAAGCCAGGAAGAGGCCUCAGAAUUAAACCCACUUUACCAGCACCUUAAUCUUGGACAUCCCAACCUCCCAGCUGACUAUGACAGGUGUCACUGUUAAAAGAAACAUGCUGACGUACUUAGAGGCCGCUUAAGUGCCCUUAUAUGAGGGCAUGGCAGUUGGCUUUCCAGAUUAAAAGAACCCAGGAACAGAGCAAGGAGGAAGACACAAGGCCUUUUACGACCUAGUCUUGGAAGUUGCACACCUUCGCUUCUGACACGUUCUAGUAUCAGUGAAUCACUAAGGCCACCCCACACUCAGGAGGAAGGGAGGUAAGCUGUGUCCCAAAUUGGUGAGUUCUUGGUCUGACUUCAAGAAUGAAGCCACAGACCCUCGGGGUGAGUGUUACACUUCUUAAAGGCAACGUAUCCGGAGUUUGUUCCUUCUCAUGUUCAGAUGUGUUCAGAGUUUUUCCCUUCUGGUGGGUUCGUGGUCUCACUGGUUCAGGAGUGAGGCUGCACACCCUCGCGGUGUAUUGCAGCUCUUAAGGAGGCGCGUCUGGAGUUGUUCAUUGCUCCUGGUGAGUGAAGCUGCAGACCUUCACGUAUUACAGCUCAUUAAGACUGUGUAGACCCAAACAGCGAGCAGCUGCAAGACUUACCUGCAAACAGCAAAAAAAAAAAAAACAAAAAAACAAAAAAACAAAAAACGAGGCUACCACCACAGGCAAAAGGAC